GGCGCGGUAGCUCAGCCCGGUAGAGCACUCCCUUCGCGGGAGCCGUCGCAGGUUCGAAUCCUGCCCGCGCCG
rnacentral:tRNA from 1 species